GCAUUGGCUCGCUCCUGUUCUUGGUGACUUCAAGAGUUCAGUCAACCAAGAACUGGCCCAAGAAGAACUUCGGGGCUGGAGAGGGAGCAGAUCUGGAGGCUGUCGGAGAGAAAGGAGUGCACUUCUGUGUCCUCCAUGUCAUCUUCGAGGAAAAGCCAGGCAGGGGAAGCACAAAGGAUAACCAAACUAAUGCAGCGACCUGAAAUCAAGGCAGGACCGCGGCCUGGUGGGAACAGCCCGAGGUUCCCUGAGAUCUCCGCUGGUCCUGCAGGUGUGUUAACGCGGGCACCAAAAGCUAAGCGCCAAAAUCCAUUCCUGAGUUUUCAGUUUGUCUUGAUUUUCAGAGCUCCUUAUCUGGUAUUGACUUAGGUAUCUAAUGACCCAAUUCAUCAAGUAGUUUAAGCAUGUAACUAAUUUUAAUCAAGUGCGUAAUCCCACGUUUAGUUGGGCACACGUGGAAGUAUCUUGCUGAAUGAAAAACUGCGUAUAAAGACCAAUUUAAGGCAAAUCCCUGCUUGAGUAUGUUCCCUUUGUUCUUUGUGAGAAAAAGGAGUAUUUUAGUAAGGAGACAUUUCCAGGGCAGCCAACAGAGCUUGAGUGCAGAGCCAGAAAGCGGCAGGUGAGCGCUUCCCCUCCAAGCGCUGUCGGUGCCGCACGGUGGCUGAGUCCCCGCCGAGCUACUCCUCAUCUACUGACCCUCGCCUCCCUGACAUCCAUUCCCCUCACCUAACAAUGACAAAUGGAGUUAUAAUAUUGGUUGUUGAACCAUAAGCUGUAGAUAAAUGUGCUUCUGAGAACCACCAUUAAGUCCCUAAAUGGAUUAUAUAUAUUUGGUUUAGAAACCUAAUAUUUAAUAUUAGUGUACUCUCCAGCGGUUGGCUUUAUUUCUCUUGAUAAUCUAUUCCCACUCCAUUUCCUUUUAGAUUUCUAACCUCAUUAAACCUUUCAUAUCACAGUUAUUUUCUGUUCUAAACAAAAUUAAAGACACACCAUCCCCAGGUUUUAAGAGUCUAAUUUUACUCCCGAACUGGAGAAAACACAGAGAUAAACAUUCUUUUCAGUGAUGAAUUUUAAAACCGCUUUACGAGUCAGCUGGAAUUGCUAACCAUAUUGAGGAUUGUAAAAGUCUGUGAAAGGCAGCAUAAUAAAUGAUGCUUGAAAUGGCAUUUGUUGUAUGGGAGUUCAGAUGCUUACAUGGUAUCUUUCCCUUCUUGGUUUUGUGUAAAAUGUGAGGAUGUAUUUCACGUUGUACAGUACCUUAAGAAUUUAUAACGUUUCAUUUCUGCUCUGAUUGUCUGCAAAGAAUCUCAGUUACCAGCAGGGGUUCCUUAAAUUCACAUGGCCAGGAGAAAGCGCUAUCUGUGUAAUACUCUGCUCCCAGUGUGCACAUUAAACUGGUUUUUCUUGAUCGAGGACACAUUUCUUCCUUAUCAUCAGGCACUUUGGCACAUUGCUUGUUCUGAUAUAUACAAGUAUUGCACUCAGCCUUACUAGACAUGUUAAAAUUGUGUUUGACCAUUCUUGUUACACAAUGCCAUGGCCUCUACAGUGGCUGGUUUAAGGAAAAAUGCAAUAUGUGUGGUGUUGAAAAGCAAUUUGCAGGCUAGAAGAAGCUUGAAAUUAUAUCCCACAUUUGUCCAGAUCCAUGUAUCUUUCCCAUGUUUUCCUGUAGGGCCCAUGUUAUUUCUGCUAAUUAUCGAGUAUCUUUGUCAUUAAAUCAGGACUACACACUUUGUAGCCUGUCUGCUGCUUUUCCUUCCCCUUCCUCCAGAGCCGUGUGGCUGCGUUACGGUGUCACAUUGGUGGUGACAUUGCCAUCACAGCUGACGGUGACCUCAUAAAGGACAGGACCACGACCUGAGCACAGGGCUGGGCUGCAGGCAGGCAGAACAGGCUUCUGCAGGGAGAAAACUCGUCAGCGACGGCACAGCACCCGUUUUGCAGGUCCAAGACCUGUAGUUUGAACAAGCUUUGCAUCCUAAAAAAACUGAGGUUCCCUUCACCUUGCUGCAGGGGAGAUGCUGUUAUCUUCCAUCCCUCUGCUGCAGGCUUGAGACAGGGGCAGGGAGCCCAGGACACUUCGGUUGCACAUCAAUAGCCAGAAUUACCUCCAGCGGUUCCUGGCUCCCUGUCCUUUGCUCAUCUGUUAGUCUAUAAGUCAGAAACAGCAUGGUGCUAAUCGCUGAGAAGUUCUGGGAGAAGGCUGGUCAGCAGGGUGCUUACAUGAAGAGUGAUGUGCUGAAAUGAUAGGGAAAUAGGUCUUUAUCCUGACCUUUUUCCUCUCCCUUCCAAUUGUGUGGAGCAGUUAACGAUGACCAGAAGCUUUCCUGGCAAGCUGUGGCUAGCAGUUUUGCUAAUUUACAUUUCUUUCCAAGGGUUCAGCAUCAUUGUCUUUAAUAGGAUGCUCUUGUUAAGGACUUGGUUGUGGGUGUUUAUGACGUCCCCACAUUUAUGUUCUCCUUCUGUUUUCUUUCACCAUACACGAGGACAAUGUCCUUGAGUGCACUGUGUUGCAAGAGGAUGCAUUAUUAGGAGUCUAUUUUAAGCCGGUUUCCAUCAGGUUUAUUACACCCUGUGAAUUCAUCACAUUUCUGCUCACCUGCGUUAGCUGCAUGUGACAGCGUUACCAUCCUCCUUGCAGAGGGCAGGAGCGGGUGGCGGAGCUGCUCUGUUUCAGGUUCUAAUGGCUGCUUAUUUCAGACAGUUUUAUCUUCACCCACCCAUAGCAAUCACCUCCAUUACAUCCAUUCUGGACUCUGCCACCGAACAAAUCGAUGCGCCCCUGACAGUCGGAGAUUGCGCGAGUGCAUGGGAAUCCUGAGGAAUCAAUCGCACCCAGGUGCAUCUGAGGGGAUUAGUGGUUUUCCCCCGGGGAGAAGCAGCUGGCGAUAUUGGCCCCUGACUCAGCAGCUUCCUUCCAAUUUCCCAUUUCAGAAAUAGAGCAGCAGGCUCUAAAUCUUCCGUGCCUGAGCGCAGAGUGGAGAGCCCAAUGCAAAGUUACAUUUCACUUGGUACUGACAGAUGGAAAGCCGUAAUAAUGUCCCUUUCUGCCCGAUGAGCGAUGGGUUCCCACGGCGCUGGACAGAUCUGGAGCGUGGCUGCAGAGGCGCAGGUGAUGCCAGGAGCUGGCUGCUCCUGGGAGAGCCGCUCUCCUCUGUGGACACCACGCUUUCGGGGGGGGUCUGGGGGCUGCUGCAGAGGGGGCGCCCACCACAGCGCCUGGGGGACGAUGAUCGGUGUACACAUGUAGAAAUCGGUUCUUGUGUUCACACUGUACCAGUACCAAAUUGACACCAGGCUCAUCAAUUUGGGGUUCUUUGCUCUGAAUUAGAGCAAUUUAAACAGGCACUGUUUAAAGCCUAGGCGGGAUAGUUGCAACCUGUUCCAUAGUGGGUUUGUCUCAGAUUGUUUGCAAAUCCUGUUUUGUACCCCAGAAAUGCUGCUGACUGAAGCAGGCAAUGGGAGUGAAAGCCUUUAAGGUAAUGUGUCUAGGAUAGAUUUCGUGUUGUUAGGAAGUCGGGGUGAGCAAGCCUGCUUCUACUCCAUUGCACAGGUGAAGGAGACAAAGGGGUUUUAGAUGCAAGGUUGGUACUUGCCACAAAUAUUAAAUUUACUCAUAGGAGUUUAGAUGGCGCAACCGAAUAAAUCAUCAAGAUGGAAGAGACAGAUCCUUAUGACCAUAAAAUAGUGAUAAUCCUAUACUGUAAUGUUAAUGAGCCUGAGUUUCUCAGGCUUGCCAUAUGCAACCUCCCUGUUGGCUUUAGUAGACACCACCAUAUGUGUAGAGGUCCAGAUUCCGGCAUUUUUCCAUUUCCCCCGAUGGAAGAGACUCCUUUGUGCAGAGAAAAUCUGUGAGUUUGCCUGUAGGUCAAAAUAAAAAAUAAAAAAAAUCCAUCAAAGGAGCAAGUUUCCUUCCCUUUGAGCUCACUGGUGCUCUCAGAAGCUCCUCUCAUUUACGUCCAGCAUGCCAAGUCAACUCGCGGUGCUCCUGCCGCUGAGUGUGCCGUAGACGCUCAGCAUGCCUCGGACUGACUCCGCGAGUUGGGAGCAGAUGUUGGCUCCGUGACAGGUCUGUGUCAGCAGCGUGUUUUGAUAACAGCAGACUAUUCCCAGCUGGUUUCUGAAGAGUUUUUCUCUUUUCCUCUCUUUUCCUCCUCUUGCUUUGAGCCCCUCUCCAUCAGCCUCAGAGCACACAUUCCGAAAAGAUGUGCCCAGCUCUUUUCUUGAUGCUAUUUAAUUUGUUGCAUCGCUCGUGUUUCAAGGCUUUUUUAAAAUGUUGUCCUUCACACAGUUGGGAAUCCCCCAAAUUCAACUUUUCCUUCACUAACUAAUUUCCACGGAAGGAAGGUCUGCGUUUCUUCCCGUCUGGCAAGAGUGCGGAGAGAUGCAAUCCCUGCUUAAUGUAGCUCUGCCACCAGAAACCCAAUAAAAAGCCAGAUUUAACCCAGUUAGCUAUAUCCAUGUCAGGAGCUCUCGGUCACCAGCCCAGGGCUGAGCUUUGGUAUCGCUCACCUGGCCAUGCUGGGGGAGAUGGGCACAGCUGCGCCCAGGGAGCGUCUGCGGUGGGGAUCACAUCCAAACGGGAAGGUGUUCUCUGCCGGGAGCCCACAGCGUGGCUGUCUGUCAGGGUCUUACUGGCCUCCAAAUAAAGGCAGAAGAGAAGGAAGCUUGUGAUGUCUCUCUAGAUUAAAUGUUGGAACUGAAGUUCACCCACCUCUCUUAUCUUCCAUCAGAUUCAGUGCUAGAUUAGUGUUAGAAGACUGCUAAAUGGCUUGGGAUAAUUUUUUAUUCCACCUCCGCCUUCAUACAUCUGUUUACCUGGUUAGUUGUGGUUGAAAAAUCCUGCAAUAACUUGUUUUAAAUAUAUAUGACAUUUCUGCAGCCUUGUCAGCAGGGCAGGAGCUCUCUCCGGGCCCACGUUUGGCGAGGAUGCUUCAGAAACAGAUCAACUGCGAGCCCCGAGCCAGCUUCCAGGCGAGUUAAUGAAGCAGUGUGUGGCUGCGAACUGGUUACUUGACCUCUUCACACCGUAAAUCCAGCCAUCUAGAAAACUGGGGAGAAAGCAGAACCCAUGGACUUGCAGACAAGCCGUGUCUGCCGUGUCCCCCUGGGGAACUGGGAGCCUGCAGGAGCCGCCCUGGCACAAGUCGUUAGCGCUCCUUCCUCGACAGGAGCCUGUACGACCUGGUUCUUUGCUCGCCUGCUUUCUCCUCUGGCCUUGAACUCCCUGCAGCAGUUUCCAGGCAAACAGCAGGUUUGGGGACCGUGCUGUAAUGGGAAACCUCCGUUUCCCUUUAACCAGGUCUUCAACCCUGCAAAACAAUCAGCCCUUCCCUUCCGUGGAGAGGCCGCGGUAUCUAAUCAGGUUUCACUCCUUUGUUGUAUCUAUUGAUCCUUGGCACUGUAAGAUGCAAAUUGCCAUGCCUGACAGGAUUCAGGGUGUUUUAUCAUCAAUGGAGAGUAAUUAUCCUUGGCUGCACCAAUAUUGGAUUGUUAAGCCCCAGGAUAAUGCACAAGGUAAAGACAUUUAGAAGGCAGUCCACCUUGGGGAUUUGUGUAAAUGUGAUGGAUAGAGUGAGAGGAGGAUAGCUGAAUUACAGCCCGCAGGGACCGGCAGCUGCAUGGGGGGGUAGCCCUGAUAAUCCUUGCAGCAGAGAUAGCGCUGCGUUUGGUAUUGAGACACAAAGUGCAUCCAAAGCUGUAAGUUUUUCUUUCUGUUUAAUCCUUGUAAUGUGUAUAUGCUGAAGAAGAAAACAUAUGCAAGAUCUUGAAUGGAUUCUGUGCGUUUGCAAGACUAGCCAAGUGACUUCUUCUGUUCGUUUAUUUAUCUAGCCAUAAUUCAAGCUUUUCUUGUGAGCAUAUUUCAGAGGCACGAGGGUUUUGGGUGCUUAUUUCUUUGUCUGUGGAUUCCAGUUCAAUACUAAGAGCAGAAUUAUAAAUGAAUAAGUAGCAGCUACUUUUCUUUUUUGAACGUAUCUGGUUAACCAUUGCAUAUUCUGCUGGAUAAAGCAGUUAAGCUGCCUUAGCUGUGGGGAGAAAACGUGUCAACAGAGAUGCCAUGUUAGCUGCCUAAUCCUCGACUGAUAGCCAACCUGAAAGUAGACUCAUGGAAGAAAAUCUCUUUCUCCAGAGUUAUCCAUAUGAGCUGGGUCUUAUACCUGUCACUUCCUUCUUUAAAUCAGCCCAUUUCUGCAGUUGCAAAAUAAACAAGACAGAGAUAGAAAAAUGAGUGUUGGUGCCUGAGAACUCCUGCCAUGAUUAAUGUUGAAGGUAGUUUCCAAAGACCAUCAGGCUC